GGCGCUGUAGCUGAGCUGUAAAGCUCUUGGCUUCCAAUCAGGGGGUCCCUGGUUUGAAUCCUGGUGACGACU
rnacentral:tRNA from 1 species